rnacentral:rRNA from 1 species
UACGGAGGGUGCGAGCGUUGUUCGGAAUUACUGGGCGUAAAGCGCGUGCAGGCGGCCAACUAAGUCCGGUGUGAAAGCCCGGGGCUCACCCCCGGAAGUGCGCUGGAAACUAUUUGGCUAGAGUACGGGAGAGGGAAGCGGAAUUCCUGGUGUAGCGGUGAAAUGCGUAGAUAUCAGGAGGAACACCAGCGGCGAAGGCGGCUUCCUGGACCGAUACUGACGCUCAUGCACGAAAGCGUGGGGAGCAAACAGG